GAAUUCGUCUGCCAAAACCAUCAUCGACUCCAAAUCGCGGCAUCUAUGCGGUCGCAUGUACGCCCUCAGAUCCGGCAUGCUAUUCUCCCUUAUUAGUUCCGUUUGCUCUUCCUGUGGACACUUCAGGGGCCUCAUGAGAGUCUGCAUCUCCACCAUGUAAUCUUUGAAUGGCUCUCCCCACCUCUGCUUCCGCAUCCUCACCUCCUGCAGCAGCUUCUCAAAACAUCCUCUUGGCAAGAAAUACGCUUGGAAGCUGCUGGAGAAGUCUUUCCACGUCUUCCAUUGCCGAUUGUUGGCCACGAACCACAUCAGUGCCCGCCCCUUCAGGAGCUCCGGCAUCGCUCUUGGGAUCAGGUCCGGAUCCAGCCCGUACGUCUCGGCGGACCACUCGACCUGCUCCAAGAACUCGAGAGGCUUCGUCGUUCCGUCGAACCGAAAUGACCACUCUCUCACCUGCUUGGCCACCUUAGCGUAGUCCAGGGGUGCCGGCCGUGGGCCUUGUGGCUCAUGGAACCCCCUUUCCGGGUCUCGGCUUCUGUCUCGGCUUGCCUGUCGAUGCCGGCUGGGUGUCGGAGUGACCGACCGCUCGGGCACCGCCAGGCUCGCGAUGAGCUCCUGCUGAAACUCAGCCGGGGACUUCCAUAGCGCCGCCGCCGCCUUCCCUUGAGGUAGAGCGAGUUGCUCAUACGUGGCCGGCUUGGCG
rnacentral:lncRNA from 1 species